GUGGUCGUCCAUUUUUAGUUGGAUCCUACUCGCUGGAAACCACAACAGAGGUAAUUGAAGGGUGCAGACUUGGCAGCGGAGUGGUUUGUUCAACAACAGUACAAUGACCGAAAGAACAUCAGUUCAAAAAAUAUGCAGGAGGUUUGGGAGCCAAACAACUGGAGGUUCAAAGAUUGUCGUGGAGCAAGUUCAAGAGUUUGGUUUCAUGUG